rnacentral:lncRNA from 1 species
AUGAUCCCUGAGGUCCCUUCACACCUGGGACUCUGGGAUCCCGGGUGCUGGGGGUGCAGGAUGGCGAUCACUGGGGGGUGGGAUGUGGAUCCUGGGGGCUGGGACACGGACCCCAGGUCCUGGGGCUGGGGUGACGGACAUGGACCCUGGGUGCUGGGGGGUGGGAUGUGGACCCUGGAUGCUGGGGUGAAAGACGUGGACCCCAGGUUCUGGGGCUGGGGUGAAGGACAUGGACCUGGGGUGCUGGGAUAUGGGAUGUGGAUCCUGGGAGCUGGGGCUGGGGGUUGGGACGUGGAUCCAAGGUCCUGGGGUGCAAGACACGGGACCCCCAGGUGCUGGGCAAGGCCGGGGUGGGCUCAAAGGGACUGGAGGAGGCCAGGAGCCAGCUGGGGAGCUGGCUUGGAAGCGCAGAGCUCCUGGGCUGAGUCCACCCCACAGCUGGUGGCUCCGCUCCCCGCCCAGCCCCGGGGACCACUGAGUGGGCUGCGGAUGCUGCGGGGCCGGUGGCCAGCACACCCGGGGGGAGCAGAGUCCGGGGCCAGGAGGGCUGGGGUGGGCACAGACGGGGUCCAGGGCACGGAGCUGGGGCUGGGCAUGGGGCCGGGGACCUGCCUGGAGCCCCAGUUUCCCUCUGCCCCCUGUUGGGGGGUCCUGCCAGGGCGGUGGGGCCGUGGCGGGGCCCUGAGAUCAUUGGAGCCGGGCCGGGGAGCAGCUGGGAGGGGAACAGCCAUGAGCUCAUCCCGGCGCUCCGGGGCCGGGGCAGGGCCGCAUCCCGCUGCCUCUCCCGGCAUCCCGCCCCCGGGGUCCCCACCUCGUCCCAGCACCCGCUCCUCCAACGGACCCCAGCAAGGUGGCACCUCACAGCCCCCGCCUGCGCCCUGCCCGCCCAGGACAUGGCCAUGGGGACCCCCCCCAUGGUGGGAGCAGGACACGGUCAUGGCUACGGAGAUGUCCACGGAGGGAGCAGGACAUUGCCAUGGGGAUCCUCCAUGGUGGGAGAUGGAUGUGGCCAUGGGGACCCCCCACAGAGGGAACAGGACGUGGCCAUGGGGACACCCCCCCAAAGUUGAAGCAGGACACGGCCACGGGGAUCUCCCAUGGUGGGAGCAGGACAUGGCCAUGGCCACAGAGAUGCCCACGGAGGGAGCAGAACGUGACCACAGAGAUGCCCACAGAGAGAGCAGGACAUUCCCAUGGGGAUCCUGCAUGGUGGGAGCAGGACAUGACCAUGGACAUGGAGAUGCCCACAGAGGGAGCAGGACACAGCCAUGGGGGUCCCCCAUAGUGUGA